UACAGAGGUCUCAAGCGUUGUUCGGAUUCAUUGGGCGUAAAGGGUGCGUAGGCGGCGGGGCAAGUCGGAUGUGAAAUCUCAGGGCUCAACCCUGAAACUGCAUUCGAUACUGCCUUGCUCGAGGACUGGAGAGGAGAUUGGAAUUCACGGUGUAGCAGUGAAAUGCGUAGAUAUCGUGAGGAAGACCAGUGGCGAAGGCGGGUAUCUGGACAGUUCCUGACGCUGAGGCACGAAGGCCAGGGGAGCAAACGGGAUUAG
rnacentral:rRNA from 1 species